AUUCAGCUGACGAGUCUCAAAAGGAGUAAACUCCAGUCUUGAAU
rfam:Schistosoma mattheei strain Denwood, Zambia genome assembly, scaffold: SMTD_scaffold0004573